rnacentral:rRNA from 1 species
GUGGGGAAUCUUGCGCAAUGGGCGAAAGCCUGACGCAGCAAUGCCGCGUGAAUGAUGAAGGUCUUAGGAUUGUAAAAUUCUUUCACCGGGGACGAUAAUGACGGUACCCGGAGAAGAAGCUCCGGCUAACUUCGUGCCAGCAGCCGCGGUAAUACGAAGGGGGCUAGCGUUGCUCGGAAUUACUGGGCGUAAAGGGCGCGUAGGCGGACAGCUUAGUCAGAGGUGAAAGCCCAGGGCUCAACCUUGGAAUUGCCUUUGAUACUGGCUGUCUUGAGUUUGGGAGAGGUGAGUGGAACUCCGAGUGUAGAGGUGAAAUUCGUAGAUAUUCGGAAGAACACCAGUGGCGAAGGCGACUCACUGGCCCAAUACUGACGCUGAGGCGCGAAAGCGUGGGGAGCAAACAGGAUUAGAAACCCGUGUAGUCC